rnacentral:lncRNA from 1 species
AAAAAAAAAAGAAAAAAAAGAGAUCGCGCGAUUAAACAAGCAUCAUACGCUACGGAAUCGAACAGAUCGCAACCGAAGAUUUGGAUCGGAUCCUUCAACGGCGGAGGGAUCCGAAGAGGAGCGCCACGGCGGGGCAGAGGAGAGCGCCGACGAGCGGCGACGAGAGAGCCACCGCGCCGGAAGUGGGGCUCGGCGCCGGGGCAUCUCCGGCGGCGGCGGCGAACCCGGCGAGGGAAGCGACGAUCCCAACCGCCACGAGGAGGAGGGAGAAAACCCUAGACUCUACGCGAACCAUUCUCUCUCUCUCUCCUUCUCUCUCUCUCUCUCAGUUGCGAAAUUUUGGUAGGGCUCGGAAUUAGGGUUAGGGAUUUGAAGGGCCUGUUAAGGGAAAGGGAAGGGAAAAGAAGUGGGAAGGAGGAGAGAGGAAGUGAACAUCAAGGAAAGGAAAGGAAAGGAAAGGGCUAAGAUUAGAACUUCGGGCAGAGUGUGUUGUGUACUGGUGUAGUGUUGUGUCGGACGGGGCAGCUGCCCGUAAGUAACAACGGUCUGGCGAUUUCUUUCUUAAUUUGUGGGUCCCGCUCCCGCAUUAGUAAGUGGAUCUUUUCCUUUUCUCAUAUGUAUAUAAUAAUAUAUACAUUCUACAUUCAUCAAUAUUUAACGAAGAAGAAGAUACUGUAUUAAUUCUGCCCUCUUUCUUCUAUUAGAUCCCGUCAAUUAUGAUUCAGCAUGAAAUGUCUUGCCAUUUUAUUAUUACUAUUAUUAUUAUUAUUAUUAUUAUUAUUAUUAUUGGAAUGAAUAGACACUAGCACACAGCAUAUAUAUGAACUCGAUCCUUCCGCAUGCGCCAAAGGGAAAUAAUGUGGCAUCCUGGCCGCUAUCCUAGUCGUGUUCAAGCCAAUUAAAUGCAUAUUUUUUAUAUUUGAUAGUGCAAAAAUUCAACCAACCGACCACUAGUCCUCACGUAAAUGAUAAAAAAUCUGGUGAUUGGUAUUUAAAACUUUAAGUUCAAAAUUUAAUUCUUUCACAUUAAACAUGAUAGCAUACGAGAUGGUCUUAGCAUUCGGAUGCACGUGUUAGAUUGAAUCUGAGUCGAUCUAUUUAUUUUUUUAUUAACUGAAAGAAAGAC